UACGUAGGGUGCAAGCGUUAAUCGGAAUUACUGGCGUAAGCGUGCGCAGGCGGCUUUGCAAGACAGAUGUGAAAUCCCCGGGCUUAACCUGGGAACUGCAUUUGUGACUGCAUGGCUGGAGUGCGGCAGAGGGGGAUGGAAUUCCGCGUGUAGCAGUGAAAUGCGUAGAUAUGCGGAGGAACACCGAUGGCGAAGGCGGCGAUCUGGGUGGUGACUGACGCUGAGGCGCGAAAGCGUGGGGAGCAAACAGG
rnacentral:rRNA from 1 species